rnacentral:rRNA from 1 species
CUGGCUCAGGAUGAACGCUGGCGGCGUGCUUAACACAUGCAAGUCGAACGCUGAAGCUCCCAGCUUGCUGGGGGUGGAUGAGUGGCGAACGGGUGAGUAUCACGUGAGUAACCUGCCCUUGGCUCUGGGAUAAGCCCGGGAAACUGGGUCUAACACUGGAUAGGACUGGCCAUCGCAUGGUGGUUGGUUGAAAGCUUUUGCGGUUUUGGAUGGACUCGCAGCCUAUCAGCUUGUUGGUGGGGUAAUGGCCUACCAAGGCUUUGACGGGUAGCCGGCCUGAGAGGGUGACCGGCCACACUGGGACUGAGACACGGCCCAGACUCCUACGGGAGGCAGCAGUGGGGGAUAUUGCACAAUGGGCGCAAGCCUGAAUGCAGCGACGCCGCGUGAGGGAUGACGGCCUUCGGGUUGUAAACCUCUUUCAGUUGGGAAGAAGCCUUUCGGGGUGACGGUACCUUCAGAAGAAGCACCGGCUAACUACGUGCCAGCCGCAGC